rnacentral:rRNA from 1 species
AUUGAACGCUGGCGGCAGGCCUAACACAUGCAAGUCGAACGAGUGGCGGACGGGUGAGUAAUGUCUGGGAAUCUGCCCGAUGGAGGGGGAUAACUACUGGAAACGGUAGCUAAUACCGCAUACUAUCAGAUGUGCCCAGAUGGGAUUAGCUAGUUGGUGGGGUAAAGGCUCACCAAGGCGACGAUCUCUAGCUGGUCUGAGAGGAUGACCAGCCACACUGGGACUGAGACACGGCCCAGACUCCUACGGGAGGCAGCAGUGGGGAAUAUUGCGCAAUGGGGGCAAGCCUGAUGCAGCCAUGCCGCGUGUAUGAAGAAGGCCUUCGGGUUGUAAAGUACUUUCAGCGGGGAGGCGUUACCCGCAGAAGAAGCACCGGCUAACUCCGUGCCAGCAGCCGCGGUAAUUC